UGGGGCGCGAUUCACAUCUCAACCGAAAUAUUUGUAAAGCGAUACGAACGAGUUACGAGAUGAAAUCCGCAAUGUUCAAAAACGCGAUUCAUAACACACAUACUUUGAUCUCGUUUUCAUAUCGCUAGUUCGUAUUGGGAUGGCUUGAGUGAAAUGAAUGAAACUAUAUUUUUUUAAUUGCCAUGCAAAAAUUAUAAAUACUACCACUAAUUGUUUUAAAUAAUUUUGUUCCUACAAUAUAUUUUGUUGGAAUUAGUGUCGAUAGCAAGUAUCAAGAAACGGCUUUUUAAUUCAACGUUGAAGAAAUUCAUAACCUGUGGCACUUUUGACAGCCGCCAUGUUUUCUACAUAAAAACAUUGAUUUUCUUUGCUCAUUUUCGUAUCAACGUAGUUUUUUUGGAAAAUAAGAAGAAAGGAAGUUUAACUUACUUAGAGAAAUACGACUGAGACAUAAUCAUGAACGAGAUGAACACAAGCAGCAGCCGAUGUGCUUGAGUUGCAGAUGGAGCAAGUGCGUUAUGAGAGGGCCACGGCUUCAGCCCUCACAAUGAAUAGCUGAAGCAAUGAACAGACAGGCUGCAGUCAAUGAGAGGCUUCUUGAGCAGGGGCUCCUCAUAUGGAAAAAGGCUAAUGAAAGGAACAAUCAAGACUGGCGGUGCGCGGGAGGAUCCCGUCCCUAC